AUAGUUUUCAGAUUUUUACAAGGAUUAUUUAUGGACUUUAAGUGUCUUUAUUAGAGACAGGGCAGUGAAUAAAGUCAGAAAUCAGGAGAGAAAGUGGGGAAUUACAUAAGAUAAGAUCAUCUUUAUUGUCUGUCCCAACAGUGACAGAAAUUCUCCUUGCAGGAUUUUCCUUGGGGGAAAGGAGCCACAGGUCAGAUUCAAACCUGGGUCGCCCACUCAGAGGACUCGAGCCUCCGUUCAGGAGUGUGCACAUUAACCACUAGGCUACUCGCACCCCAGCUCAAGCAGCAGAGAAUGGAGAGGAGCAAAAGAGGGGAGGCAACAGGCAAUGUGGAAGCUGUUUUUAAAACCUGCACUCCUUAAUCCUCAGGUCUGCGACUCAGCAGAAGCCUGGUGUACUCAGGCUGAAGAUUACUUUCAAGCUCGGCCUUCGCAUGGCGCUGAAGUGGAUUCAGGCUAAUGAUCACAAGUCCAUAAAGGCAUUUAAUAAUGAGGACAUGUUAAAGUAAAGGGAAGAAUAUGCACAUUUGUUGUUGAAUUAAUAAAGAAAUACAUUCAGAGUAUGGUUUUUAAAAUGACUUUUAUUAAAAUUCUGAUUUCCACAGCUGUAACUGUCUGUGCUGACAGAAGAGUAAUGGAUCUUUGAAGGUACAUGCAUGUGCAACUGCUUUUUUGCCACUAAUGAACUUUGUGAUGUUCUUUCACAAGAUCUUAGUCCCACAUCUUGGGGUCCCAGGCGUGGAACCAGCCAGUGAAUGAGGGGGGCUCCGCCCCCUGCUUAAUGGUGUAGAUAG